rnacentral:tRNA from 1 species
UGUAUUAUGGUGUAAGACGCACACGAAAUUUUGAUUUUCGUUGAUUAAGUUUAAUUCUUAAUUUUACAA